CGUCGACAGAGUAAUGGCGGCGAAUUCAAACAAUCAAAAUAAUCCAAAGAAUAGAAAUCGAGAAAAUAAAGUUGGGAAUGGAUCAGAGACUCUAAGAGUAGAGAAUAGUGGUGAAGAGGAGGAAGAGGAUGAUAUGGAUAUAGGAUGGACACAAAUAGAAGGACGAUACGGGAAAAAAGCAUCUAGGAAAAGGAAAAAAGGUAAGGAGGAUGCAUCGGAAAGUAGUUCGCUUGCGAGUGAGGAGGAAGGGGUUGGAGAAAAAGCCAAAUUAGGAUUUAGGAUAAUAUUAAGAUUCAAGGAAGAAACGGGAGUUUCAGGAAUAAAUCCAAUGAUGUUGACACAUGAAUUAAAGAAACAAGUAGGUGAAAUCGCAUUCGCAAAGGUGCUUCAGGAUGGUGCGUUAAUGAUUGUGUGCAAAAACGAAGAACAGAAAAAUAAGGCAAUGAAAGUAAAAACAGUGGGGAAGAAGGUUGUUACGAGUAGUAAGAUCAUAGGUCAGAAUUCAUGGAUAUUUGGCGUGAUAAAAGGAGUUCCUAUUGGGGUAACAAUGGAGGAAUUAAAAAAGAAUCUUGAUGGAGGUAAAGUCAUAGACGCAGUUAGAUUGAAGAUGAAUAGAGAAGGAAGAAGAAUGGACAGUCUGUCGGUGCGCAUUAAAUUUGAAGGAAGAGAAAUGCCAGAUAAAGUCAGAAUGGGAUUCAUCAGCUACCCAGUUAUAGAAUACAAUGCACCUCCAAUGAGAUGUUACAACUGUCAGAGGUAUGGGCACACAGCAGCUUUAUGUAAAUCAAAAAUAAGAUGUGCGCGAUGUGGAGGGGAACACGAAUUUGGAAAGUGUGAAGAAGGAGUGGAGGUGAGAUGUUGCAACUGUGGAGGAGGACAUAAUGCUGCAUAUGGAGGUUGUGAGGCAAGAAAAAGGGCAGUGGAAGUUCAGCAGGAAAAAGAAAAAAACAAUCUAACUUACGCUGAAGCAGUAAAGAUGGUGAGGGAAAAGAGGAAGUCAAAUGAAACAGUAAGAUUGGAUUCAGGUAAGAAAAAUGAAGGAGAAGAAAGAAUUGGUGAAAGUAGGUCAUCAGAGGAUUUGGCGUUAGUAAGCAAGAAAAAUUUUGUACUCUUCAUGGUAGAAGUAAUUAACUGCACUGCCCAAACAGAAAGAAGAACAGAAAAGAUACAAAUAAUAAUUAAAGCAGCAGAAAGGUAUCUGGAAAUAAAGGGUCUGAAGAGUGAUGAUAUAAGAAGAAGCCUCAGUUCAGAUUUUCAAGAGAGUCAGGAGAUAGGAAUAGGUUAGUAGGGUUAUGUUGAGAAUCCUACAAUGGAAUGCAAGAAGUCUAUGUUCUAAUGGACAAGAGUUUAAGGGAUAUUUAAGUAAAAUGAAAGAAAAACCUAAUGUAAUAUGUAUUCAGGAAACUUGGUUGAACUCAAGGUUAGAUUUUGUUUUAAAGGGAUAUGUAAGUGUAAGAAGGGACAGGGAAGAAGGUAUAGGUGGAGGUUGUGUCACGUUUAUAAAAGAAGGAAUGCCUUAUAGAACUUUGGAAAAAGGAGUAAACCUGGAAUAUAUAGUGAUAGAAAUAUGGUAUGGAAUAAAAGAGUAUGUAAUAAUAAAUUUUUAUAACCCAUGUAAAAAACUAACAAUGGAUAGUAUGGAAGAAAUUAAAGGUCUAAAUGAAGAAAGGGUUAUAUGGUGUGGUGAUUUUAAUGCACAUAAUACACUAUGGGGAGGAAUAAUAACAGAUAGAAAUGGUAUGGUAAUAGAGGAGAUUAUAGAAAAGAAAAAUUUGGUAUGCAUGAAUGAUGGAGGAUAUACACGAAUGGAUGUAAAUACAAGCAAAGAAUCAGCACUUGACCUAACAAUUGUGUCAAAUUCACUGGGUGGAAUUACAGUAUGGGAGGUCAUAAGGAAAUGCUCAAUUGGAAGUGACCAUUUUCCUAUUAUUAGUUCAAUUAUAAAUAGUGAGAAUAAGAAUGUUAAUAAAGGUAAUUCUGGAAAAUGGAAGUAUGAGAAAGCUGAUUGGGAGAAAUUCAAAGAAAUAAGUGAAGAAGGGUUGAAAAAAAUUAAAAUGAAUGAAGAUAUUGAAAUUGAAAGGUUAUAUGCAGAGUUAAGUUAUGUAAUUCGGCAUGCAGCAAAUGAAAGUAUUCCAAAGAGUUCAGGAAAAAGAGUAGGGAAAAUGGUCCCAUGGUGGAAUGACCAGUGUACAAUAGCAGUAAGAAAAAAAAGGAAGGCAUUUAAAAUUCUAAAGAGAACACAUAACUUGCAAAACUUGAUAGAAUAUAAGAAAGCUCAGGCAGAAACUAGGAAAAUAAUCAGAGAAAAGAAGAAAGAAUAUUGGAGAUCGUUUUGUAAUGAAAUUGGGAAAAGUACUCCGGUUGAGGAAGUAUGGAAUAUGAUAAGAAAAAUGAGUGGUAUUAGAAGAGAAUAUGAAUACCCAGUAUUAAAUGUAGGAAGCAAGAAUGCAGUAAAUGAUAAAGAUAAAGCAGAAAUGUUUAAAAAUGAGUUCUUAAAAGUAAACAGCUCCAAUAACUUGACAAAUGAAAGUAAGAAUAUGAGAGAAAGAGUGUUAUCCGGGAAUUGUAAUAUAAUGGAAAAAAGGACAGUUACCGAAGGUACGUUAGAUGUCUUGUUCACCUUUUCAGAAAUGAAAAGGGCAUUAAAAUACACCAAGACAUCAACUCCAGGACAAGACGAUAUAAGCUAUGUGAUGUUAAAAAAGUUAAGUGAAGAGUCACUAAGGAAAAUUCUGGAAUUUUAUAACAGGGUGUGGGAAGAAGGAAAAUUGCCUCUAGAAUGGAAGGAUUCAUUAAUUAUACCCAUAAAAAAAUCAGGUAAAGACCCUAGUAAUCCUUUAAGCUAUAGACCAAUAGCACUAACAUCACACAUGUGUAAAUUAAUGGAAAAAAUGAUCACUGACAGACUUGGGUAUCACUUGGAGAAAAAUAACUUUUUCUCCCCUUAUCAAAGUGGAUUCAGAAGUGGAAGAGGUACAAUGGACUCAGUUAUUAAUUUAGAAACAGACAUUAGGAAAGCGUUAACUAAUAAGGAAACAGUAGUGGCAGUUUUCUUUGAUAUUGAGAAAGCAUAUGAUAUGCUAUGGAAGGAGGGCCUGUUAAUUAAGUUGAACCAAAUAGGAAUAAGUGGUAGACUAUUUAAUUGGAUUAAAGAGUUUUUAAUUGAAAGAUAUAUUAGAGUAAAGAUUGGGAAAGAUGUGUCGAGUAGAGGAAUUAUUGAAAAUGGUACUCCACAAGGCAGUGUUAUAAGUCCUUUGUUAUUUCUAAUUAUGAUUAAUGAUGUUUUUUCAAGUUUAGAAAGAAAUAUCAAUAAAUCUCUGUUUGCAGAUGAUGGAGCUCUAUGGUUAAGAGGCAGAAAUGUGGAUCAUAUAGUUAAUAAAAUGCAAACAGCAUUAAUUAAAGUUGAGAACUGGUCAAAUAAAUGGGGUUUUAAAUUUUCAGUGGAAAAAACCAAAUAUAUUUUCUUUACAAACAAAAAAAGUAGUAUUGACCUAAAACUGAAAAUAUAUAAUAUAGAAUUAGAACAAGUAAAAAUGAUCAGGUUUUUAGGUAUGUGGUUAGAUUCUAGAGCUACAUGGAGUAAUCACAUCAGUAAGAUGCAGGAGAAAUGCAAAAGAAUUUUGAAUGUAAUGAGAUGUAUUUCUGGGCGUGAGUGGGGAGCAGAUAGACUAGCUUUAAAAACUAUUUAUGUAACAAUGAUCAGAGCAAUUUUAGAUUAUGGUUGUGUGGCAUACAAUUCAGCAGCAAAGUCACAAUUAGAAAAACUUGAAAGAAUACAAUCCCAAGCUCUUAGAAUUUGUUGCGGAGCAUAUCCUUCCUCUCCAGUUCCAGCUUUGCAGGUGGAGAUGGGGGAAAUGCCAAUUCAACUAAGAAGGAAACAACUGAUAUUGACAUACUGGGCAAGAACAAAAGGCCAAGAGGUUAAUCAUCCUGUAAAAACACUAAUGGAGGUAUGUUGGGAAUAUGGGAAAAAGAAAAUUAAUAGCUUUAACUGGAUUAUUGAGGAAUUAGUGCAGGAAAUGAAAUUAAAUGAAUAUAAUAUUAUACCAUCAAUAGUUCUACCAACAACACCUUUAUGGAUAUUACCACAACCAAAAAUAGACCUCAAAUUAUUGAAAGACAGACAGGAAAAAGGACAUGAGUUAACAGAGGGAUAUCUAACAAGAGAGUAUAUCGGGACAAAAUAUGAUCAGUAUACACACAUUUUUACAGAUGCAUCAAAAGAUCCGCAAAGUGGCCGGGUGGGGAUCGCAUAUAUUAUUCCAAGUUUAGAUGUGUUAGAAGGGAAAAGAAUAUCUAAUCAUUUGUCAGUAUUUACAGGAGAGCUGCUAGCAAUUAUGCUAGCAGUCAACAAAGUUUAUGAAAUGGAUCUAAACAAGUCGAUAAUAUGUUCUGAUUCAACUUCAGCGUUACUAUGCCUGGAUAUUAAAAAAUCGGAAACUAGACAGGACAUUAUAAUAGAAAUUCUUCAAUUAUUACAAAAUUUAGAACAGAAAAACAAAAUAGUUGAGUUUGUAUGGGUACCAGCACAUUCAGGAGUUGAGGGCAAUGAAGCAGCAGAUAGAUUAGCAAAAACAGUAAUGGCAAAAGAGAGGAUAGAAAUGAAAAUCAGGUAUAGUAGGGCUGAACUUAAAUCAGUAAUUAAAAAGGGAAUACACAAAAAGUGGCAAAUAAGUUGGGACAAUGAACAAAAAGGCAGACAUUUAUAUGCAAUACAACCAAAGGUAGGACAGAUUUUGAAAUCAUGGGGGAGCAGGAAGGAGGAUUGUAUUCUUUCAAGAAUAAGGAUAGGACAUACAGGGCUGAACGCUACAUUACACAUGAUAGGAAAACAUCCAACAGGGUUGUGUGAUGGAUGCGGAGAAAGAGAGACAGUAGAACAUGUAAUCAUUAGUUGCAAUAAAUACACAGAGGAAAGAAAUAUGUUAAUUAAUGACCUACAGAUAAAUGAUGAACAAAUAACACUGAAAGAGUUUUUAUAUCAGGAAGGAAAGAAAUGGUUGAUUCAAUUCUUAAAAAGAACUCAGUUAAUACAUAGGAUAUAGAAUGUCUAAAUAUAUUUAUUUAAUUAACUUAAUUAUUAUUUUAUUUAUAACAAUAUUAAGCUUUCUCCUCUCAUCUACUAUGUUUUCUAUGUCUCGGCUGUGAAGGACCUGAGCUGUAGAUGGAGGAGCUGAACACGCAGCAACAUCGAAGGCUCGGGUUUUGAAGAGUCAAGAGUAGGUGGCGGUAAUGCUCUGAUAAGAAUGCGAACCGCCAAUAAACACCAGGAAGAAGAAGAAGAAGAAGAGCACACGAGAGAACAAUGUAGUCGGAGUGAAGCCACGGGCAGAGAAGUUGUGUGUUGCUAAUCAGCGUUGUUUGGUGGAUUUGUGCGUGUUUUAAACCAAUUUAAACCCUACUGUCGCAGUCAACUCCACGUCACAAGUUGGCCAACAUAAGUGGCGAGCCACUUGACGAACUGGUGAUAGCGGAAAAGCGGUCCACACGGAGGUCAGGAAAUCCGACGUUUCUAGGACAACGAGUCACAAACAACUGAGCGCCGUGUAUUACACUUUGUCUGGUUAGAAACCCUUAUACCGCACGGAGCUGAACAAAAACUUCCAGCACACCUUUAGGAAU